GUCGAGAGGCUUCGGCAAUGGGGGAAACCCUGACCGAGCGACGCCGCGUGCAGGAUGAAGGCCCUUGGGUUGUAAACUGCUUUUGUCGGGGAAGAAAUGCGAUCAGGUGAACAAUCUGGUCGUUUGACGGUACCCGACGAAUAAGCUCCGGCUAACUCCGUGCCAGCAGCCGCGGUAACACGGGGGGAGCAAGCGUUGUUCGGAAUCACUGGGCGUAAAGGGCGUGUAGGCGGUCAGGUAAGUGGGAUGUGAAAGCCCCCGGCUCACCCGGGGAUCUGCAUCCCAAACUGCCUGGCUUGAGUACGGGAGAGGAUAGGGGAAUUCCUGGUGUAGCGGUGAAAUGCGUAGAUAUCAGGAGGAACACCGGUGGCGAAGGCGCCUAUCUGGCCCGAUACUGACGCUGAGGCGCGAAAGCUAGGGGAGCAAACGGGAUUAGAUACCCGAGUAGUCC
rnacentral:rRNA from 1 species